rnacentral:rRNA from 1 species
UACGUAGGGUGCGAGCGUUGUCCGGAAUUAUUGGGCGUAAAGAGCUUGUAGGCGGUCUGUCGCGUCUGCUGUGAAAAUCCGGGGCUCAACCCCGGACUUGCAGUGGGUACGGGCAGACUAGAGUGUGGUAGGGGAGACUGGAAUUCCUGGUGUAGCGGUGAAAUGCGCAGAUAUCAGGAGGAAUACCAGUGGCGCAAGCGGCGCUCUGGGUCACAUCUGACACUGAGACGCGAAGGCAUGGGGAGCGAACGGG